rnacentral:sRNA from 1 species
AUCGCGGCGAUCGUCGGCAUCUUGGCGAUCAUGCGCAACGAUGCGACCAUCCGCUGAUGCGGAUCGGUGAUGUCGGUCGAGUCGUGGUAGAAGGCGGAAAGGGCACCGACGCAGCCGCACAUGACGGCCAUCGGAUGGGCAUCGCGGCGGAAGCCGGUGAAAAACCGCGACAUCUGCUCGUGGACCAUGGUGUGAUGCGUGACGCGAUAAUCGAAAUCGGCCUUCUGAGCCUUUGUCGGCA